rnacentral:rRNA from 1 species
AGAAUCAACGCUGGCGGCGUGCCUAACACAUGCAAGUCGAGCGGUAACGCGGGAGCAAUCCUGGCGACGAGCGGCGAACGGGUGAGUAAUGCUUGGGAAUCUGCCCAUUAGUGGGGAACAACCAGCCGAAAGGUUGGCUAAUACCGCAUACGCCCUACGGGGGAAAGCGGGGGAUCGUAAGACCUCGCGCUAAUGGAUGAGCCCAAGUCGGAUUAGCUUGUUGGUAGGGUAACGGCCUACCAAGGCGACAAUCCGUAGCUGGUCUGAGAGGACGACCAGCCACACUGGGACUGAGACACGGCCCAGACUCCUACGGGAGGCAGCAGUGGGGAAUCUUGCGCAAUGGGCGAAAGCCUGACGCAGCAACGCCGCGUGGAGGACGAAGGCUUUCUGAGUUGUAAACUCCUUUCAGCAGGGACGAGUAGUGACGGUACCUGCAGAAGAAGCACCGGCAACUACGUGCCAGCAGCCGC